rnacentral:rRNA from 1 species
AGAUUGAACGCUGGCGGCAGGCCUAACACAUGCAAGUCGAGCGGUAGAGAGGUGCUUGCAUCUCUUGAGAGCGGCGGACGGGUGAGUAAUGCCUAGGAAUCUGCCUAGUGGUGGGGGAUAACGUUCGGAAACGGACGCUAAUACCGCAUACGUCCUACGGGAGAAAGCGGGGGACCUUCGGGCCUCGCGCCAUUAGAUGAGCCUAGGUCGGAUUAGCUAGUUGGUGAGGUAAUGGCUCACCAAGGCGACGAUCCGUAACUGGUCUGAGAGGAUGAUCAGUCACACUGGAACUGAGACACGGUCCAGACUCCUAACGGG